AGAAAAUUUUGGAAGUGGAAAAGCUGUAGAAAGAUUAAUAUAAGUUUAAGUAUGUUUAAGUGUUACCUUAUCACAACUGAUAACUUGUUUUGUGACCCUUAUACUUAGCCAACAUAUUUAGAAGGGACAGGAAAAGUUCAACAUGCAACCUCUAAAAACUAAAAAAAUUCGCCCUCUCGAUUUCGCCGUAGACAGAAAGAAAAGAAGCAAUUCGCCGAAUUUAAUCAAGUACACUGCUUUUAGUAUUGUAUGCUGCAUUUACUUAAUCUGUUUUGGAAUGGUCUUUUCACUCUCGGGCUUCGCAGUGAGAAGAUUUUGUUACGGAUCCUCAGAUUCUUUAGAAUACGACGUGUCAUCGGUAUUAAUAGUCGCUAUGAUGAUUGGUUCUGUCUCCUUUCUGAUGUCACUCGCAAUCUUUUACGUAAGCGGCCUUAUCGUUGCGAUUGAUGACGUACGCGCAAAGAGUGGCGAAAAGAAAAUCUUCGUCUCCUUUCGUUUUCGUAAAUAUCGACCUCAAUUUCGAACUCGGAUGAUCCAAACUGAAAAUUCGGGCGACUCACCCGAUUUAUCUAAAUCAGUUUACGAGUUAAUUUGAUUCAUUCACUCGUAAUAUAAAAUUUAUUGCGUUGAUAGAUGUAAGUUUAUUUAGCGCCAUUUUUGAUGAUUUAUACAUUAUGACGAAUUAUUCAUGGCAAAGUUAGCUCUUCGCGUAAAUAAAAUACAUAAAUUAAGACAUUUCAUCAACAGAAAACUAUAGAAAAAAGUGGCUCCUCUGAAAGGUGGACAAGUUGAAUCCAUACUUGAAGAACCUGUGAAAUCGACCAAAUAACAAAGAUAUACUUGCAGUUUUCAUUUACAUAUUUUAAUAAAUUUGUUUAAAAGUCUUUCACGACAAUUUUAUUAUUCAAAAACCGUUCAAAUUUUCAUUUUCCAAAAAGAAAAAUGGGUUUUAAUUUGUACAAGUGUUUUUUUUUAAUUAUUCCACUAAGAAACUUCUUUAUCCAAGAUAACGUUGACUCAAACUUUAAGGAAAUUCAAGAAAGAAACGGUUUAAAUGAUAAAGAAUUUUGCAUCAUCAUGAAAUUCUAUCAUCGAAUUUUUAAAAUUGCCUAUUGUUAAAAAUCCCCCCAAAUGUUACUGUAAUUGUUACUGUAUAAUAUUGAAAAAUGAAGUCU